ACAUACGACCAUAGGACAUUAUUCCGGAACCACUCGAUCCCGUUAGCUCUCGAAAAGUUAAACGGUUUGCCGGUGGGCAAGUAGCCAGGUGGGUGACCACUGGCGAAUCCCCGCUGUUGUAUGUU
rnacentral:rRNA from 1 species